rnacentral:tRNA from 1 species
GGUUAUGGCUCAGUGGUAGAGCACUUGUCUUGCACAUGUGAGAAAUGGGUUCGAUUCUCAGCACCA